CUGGGAGGUGAAGCAAGAGGAGCAGAACUGAACCUGUGCUCUUCUGCAUUACCUGUUUUACCUGUUGCAUCUUCAUAUUCACAGGCUGCGGUCAGUGGAGAUGGGCAGCGGGUACAGUCACUCCUCCAGCGCUCCCUGUGCUCUCGCAGAGAUGACUGCUGGCCUCUGAGAGCUCCUCUGGAGCAGGGAUGAGUCACUGCCCAAGGGUAAACAGUGAAUACUAUGAUGACACUCACGUUUGAAAGACAGUGAGGUAGAACAAACAAGGUAAUUUCUUAAUAAAUAUU
rnacentral:lncRNA from 1 species